AUUGAACGCUGGCGGCAUGCCUUACACAUGCAAGUCGAACGGCAGCGCGGGUGCUUGCACCUGGUGGCGAGUGGCGAACGGGUGAGUAAUAUAUCGGAACGUACCUUAUUGUGGGGGAUAACGCAGCGAAAGCUGUGCUAAUACCGCAUAAUCCCUUAGGGGGAAAGCGGGGGACCGUAAGGCCUCGCGCAAUUAGAGCGGCCGAUACCUGAUUAGCUAGUUGGUGAGGUAAAGGCUCACCAAGGCGACGAUCGGUAGCUGGCCUGAGAGGACGAUCAGCCACACUGGGACUGAGACACGGCCCAGACUCCUACGGGAGGCAGCAGUGGGGAAUUUUGGACAAUGGGGGCAACCCUGAUCCAGCAAUGCCGCGUGAGUGAAGAAGGCCUUCGGGUUGUAAAGCUCUUUUGUCAGGGAAGAAACAGCAGCUCUAGCACAGUAUGCGAAUGACGGUACCUGAAGAAUAAGCACCGGCUAACUACGUGCCAGCCGCCGCAGUAA
rnacentral:rRNA from 1 species